rnacentral:tRNA from 1 species
ACUUUCUUAGUAUAACUAGUACUGUCGACUUCCAAUCAUCAAGAUCCGUAUAAUAACGGAAGAAAGUA